rnacentral:tRNA from 1 species
AGUUUUAUAGUCAAAAAAUGAUAUCAAAUUGCAAAUUUGAAGUUAAAGUUAAUUUUAAAACUU